CCCGCCGUUCCCCGCCGCCCGCCCCCGGGUCCCUCCCCCGAGGCCGAUCCCCCUCCCCCGGGUCCCUCCCCCGGCUCCAGGUCCCCCCGGCGCGGUGAGGCGAGGCCCGGCCCGGCGGGGCCCGGCCCGGCGCUGGGCGGAGCCGCCUCUGGCCCCUCCGAGCGGGCGGGCGCCUCGCGCUCAGCGUUUCGCCCCUCUCCUCUCCCCCCCCGGGCCUCGGCGGGGCCCGGCCUUACCGCUCAUGGUGGCCGGGGGCCGAGCCCGAGCGGCGGCGGGGCGGGGAGGAGGGGGCGGGCGCGCCCGGCGCGCUGAGGCGGCGGCCUAACCCCGCCGGUGACCGCCGAGGGGCUGCCGAGGGAGGGAGCCGCGCACCGCUGCCCCGGCCCCGCUGCCCGCCCCCGCCGCCUCCUCGCCCAAUGGCAGCGCGUCGAGGGCGCUCCUGGGCUGCCAUCAAAGCCCUCUCAGGACUCCACACAGCGCAGCCCAUCGCUUUGAGGCACUGCUGACCCCAGCCCCACGGAGCCCUUUUCCUCCACCCGUUGGUUUUGAAGCCCCCCAUCGCCGCUUCCUGCUGUCCCCCAUUUCCUGGGGCUGUUUUUUGGUUUAUUUUUCUCUCUCCUUCCCCCCCCCCUUCCCUCCCCAUCGCAGCUGGAAAGUUCUGCAGUCGCCCGCCAUGACCUCACCGCGCUUCCAGCGGAACUCUUUUAUUUUUGCUUUCCAUUCCUGGCAGAUGGCGAACCCCAGAGUAACUGAAAUAACACCGGGGGGGGAAGAGGGGGACAACCCCAGGGAGGGUGGAACAGCACCGCCUCACCUCAGCAUUGUGCUUUUUGGAACGGCCCCCCUCCCUCCCUCCAGCUGACAAACCCACAGCAUUGCCCCCACAGCCUGCAGGGAGGGGGAGCUGACGCUGCCCGCUGAUUGCAGUCAGUAAUUAAUUGGAGGAGGGGUGUGCUCAGAGGUCCCCGCUCCCUCUGUCUGCAGCUCCUCCCUGCCUCAGUUUCCCCUUAGCAGGGCAGAGCACAGCCUUCCUCCCCAACAAAACGCCUUAAAACUUCUUUUGUAAGACAAAAAAAAAAAAAAGGAACUGUGCAAGAAGGGAGAGGUGUCCCCCCUCCCCGCAGGCCGUGUUCAGUGUCCCACCAAGUGUCCCCUUCCCCCCUAUGAGGGAUCUGUGUCCCCACUGCAGCACAAUGAUGGCAGCCCCUAUCACAGUCUCCCCAUCUCUUCUUUCCCUCCCAACCCACGUCACAGCCACAGGGACGUCCUCCCCACCGCUGUUCCCACUGGUGGUGGCACCUGGGGACACAGAGCAGUGGCCCAUGGCCCCGCUGCUGUGCCUGCUGUGAGCUCUGUGCCUCAGUUUCCCCUUUGCCUUACAGGCAGUGCUGUGCCAAUGGCGAAGGGACGAACCUCCUGCCUCAGUGCUGCUGUGUGUCCCCGGGGUCGGUGAAGUUCCCUGGCUCUGCGCCCACCGGUGGGGCCGGGCCUGGUGCUGGGGAGGGCUGUGGGGCUUUAUCUUUUCCCUGCAUGGUGUGGGUGGGGGCACAUUGCUGUCCCUAAACUGGGUCACAGCCAGCGCCGUGCGGGGCGAAGGUUGACUCUGCCCCAUUCCUCGGGCAAAGGCUGCUCUGCAUCCCGGCUGUUGUCCGUGCUGCCUUGGUGAGGGCGGGGGGGAGGAGGGGAAGGGGGGCAAAUCCUCCUCCUGCCCCACUAUGGGGGCAGUGUAAAUGCCCAUCGUGCCCAACUGUGGGGGGGGUGAAUCUCUAUCCUGCCCCAUUGCUCCCUGGUGGGAACAGCUGGAGGCAGAUCUCUGUCCUGCUGCAGUAUUGAGACGGGGCUGGGGGGAUUUGGAUACAGCC
ensembl:lncRNA